GUCGAAGACACGGCCAGUACCACAGCCGCAGUACGUACGUUAGUUGAGACUCGAUAUGUCUCACUCUGGAACAGGACCCGGAGGAGGAGGAGCACGCCAUUCAGACUCAAUGCCUGCGGAGUCAGAGACUGGGAACAACAACCUAGGUUUGGAAAGCAUGUUGCCACUGCCUCCACAGCCGCAGCGACCACCACUACCUCCUUCUAUGAGAGGCAGCAGCAGCAGCUCUGUUUCAGCAGG